CCGACACAGCCUCACCUUUCCUGACUCUCAGCGGCCCCGAAGGUGUUAGUCGUACUUUAGGUGCGUCUAAAAGCAAGAAAGGGAUACACUACAGAUACUGAAAACUGGAACCCACGCUUUCUGGUUUUGCACAGUUGGGAAAAACUGGACUUUGAAUACAAGCUCACAUUUGACGGUCAGCAUAACGUUGGCGGUGCUGCGGCCGGCAGCGGAGGAUACCACACAGCGGUACUGCCCAUGGUUUCCAGGUACAGCGUUAACAACCGUGAGCACAGACCCAUCAGGACCGACUUUUACGUUAUCUAGAGGGAAAC